ACGGGAGGCAGCAGUGGGGAAUAUUGGACAAUGGGGGAAACCCUGACCCAGCGACGCCGCGUGAGUGAAGAAGUAUUUCGGUAUGUAAAGCUCUAUCAGUAGGGAAGAUAAUGACGGUACCUAACUAAGAAGCUCCGGCUAAAUACGUGCCAGCAGCCGCGGUAAUACGUAUGGAGCAAGCGUUAUCCGGAUUUACUGGGUGUAAAGGGAGCGUAGACGGCAUGGCAAGUCUGAUGUGAAAUCCCCGGGCUCAACCCGGGAACUGCAUUGGAAACUGUUAAGCUAGAGUGCAGGAGAGGUAAGUGGAAUUCCUAGUGUAGCGGUGAAAUGCGUAGAUAUUAGGAGGAACACCAGUGGCGAAGGCGGCUUACUGGACUGUAACUGACGUUGAGGCUCGAAAGCGUGGGGAGCAAACAGGAUUAGAUACCCUGGUA
rnacentral:rRNA from 1 species